GUGGGGGCGUGUGAGUGGUGAUCGGGAUGUUUGUGCUGGCUGGCUCCAUGCUCGUAGUCAUCGAACAGUCAGCACGCGUUUCGCCUCAGGUUUGCCCUCGGGUUUGUUGCCCUGCGGGUUACUCGUGGUUCUUGUGUUGCCUACCCGUUUAGCGGUAUUCAUGUGCCUCUUAAGACCCGUUCCAUCCAGACCCCUUCUUGGGGCUUCUGGGGAGUUCGAAAGUGAUGCAUGUUUUGCGUUAGCUGUGCAUUGUAACGGCUGGCGUGCUAACAUGUGUAUACUGUUCCCUCGGAUGCUGUGCACGCGGUGAACGUGGGCUGACGAUUGUGCCCCGUUGAGUCCCUUUGAGUUAUCGGUUGCCUUGAAUGACACUCUGUCGUAGUGCUGGUGUUGCUUUACCAUUCGUGGUGUCAACACUAGUACGUCGAGCAGAGUCGUUGAUG
rnacentral:misc_RNA from 1 species